rnacentral:rRNA from 1 species
UACGAAGGGGGCUAGCGUUGUUCGGAAUUACUGGGCGUAAAGCGAACGUAGGCGGUGUUCCAUGUCAGAGGUGAAAGCCUGGGGCUCAACUCCAGAAUUGCCUUUGAAACGGGGACGCUUGAGUCCGAGAGAGGAUGGCGGAAUUCCUAGUGUAGAGGUGAAAUUCGUAGAUAUUAGGAAGAACACCCGUGGCGAAGGCGGCUCUCUGGGACGGUACUGACGCUGAGACGCGAAAGCGUGGGGAGCGAACAGG